rnacentral:lncRNA from 10 species
CGGUGGCUAAUGAUGACAACAGCAACAGCACUGAGCACAGAAAACUCCACAGGCCUGGGCUCGGCUCAUCGCACAGCCUCCAUCUCUGGAUGCCCUGUGAGGGUUCUGUCAUUAUCCACAUUUUAGAGAUGAGGAAACUGAGGCUUAAAAGGGCUAAGUGACCAACCCACUGACACAGCGAUUCGAGCUUAGGCUGGCCCAUCCCAGACCUGGACUGCCCACCUCUCUCCCCUUUCGCAGCCGACCUGGCUGCCAGCUCUCGUCCUUCCUCUGCGGGGUUUGGCUUUUCCCUCCUCUCUUCCCCAGGUGGUCCCGUCCCGGGCACUGCCUCGAGUCUCACGGUGUGCAGGGCCAGGCAGACGAGCUGCUGACUGCAGCUUCGCUGUAAUCUACCGACUCUAACGGCAGCUCAGCUCGCACGGGGCUAGCACAGCGAACACGUGCGCACGGGGAUGGGCGGAGAACCGAGUGACGACAGCAAAGAGCCAGGGGGAGCCAGGAAAAGCUCGAAAAUCAGCGUAACGCUGUUGGAGAUGAGAGGGCACAGCACAAUUUUGAGAGCCAAACAAAGGCGGGGCACAGAGCUGUUGCCUCGAGAUGUGUGGCCUCAGAAGGUCUUGUCGAGGAUUCAAGGAGAUUCAAAACCCGUGUCACUGCUGCCAUCUUCCUAGAAUCCCUUUAAAUCCUCAUGGAUUUGCUGACAUUGGGAGCAUCCUGAAAGAGUCCCCAUGCUAGGGUGGCUGCAGUAACAGGUACAAUGAGAAAUGAUGGUUCUCCCCACUCCAGAAAAAAUCAAAUCAGAUUGUGAAUUUAUUCCCUGACAUUAACACACGGCAUUACAGGAGCAUGUACAUCACAUGGUCAAUUUAUUGGCAUGAGGAUUAUGUCAUCGGGGAAUAAAUGGGAAAUUCUCAAGGUGGCCCAGGCCUGUAGGCUUCCAGUGAGAAAACUGGAGACCACACUCACCCGUCCCACUGCCGUUUCUUUGGGGCUGCCUGUGAUACUGGGUUAUUCCCCUUGCCGAGUUCCACUGUGCUUACCCUGUUGGAAUAUGAUGGUGGACUUGCCAGAGGAGAUGACCAUGAUUUUCAGGAACAGCAGCCCCUCCUUCCUGGUUGAGGCAGCCAGCAGGCACUCCUAUCCAUGAGCCACAGCUCAGCUAAGGCAAUCCAGUCCAGCUGCAUGCCCUCUCUCUGCUUCUGGGGAGGUAGGAAGGACCAGGGGCAUUCAUGCUUGUUUCUAGGGGGCCCUAACUGGAUCUCUGGAUCAAGACCUACUCAGGGGAGAAAGACUACUCUGGGUUCCAUGUUAGGACUGACGGGUGCAUCUUAACUGAGAUGCAGACAGUGGACAAUUCGAACUCUGACCUGAGAGCAAGCCCCAGCCUUGGUGCUCAUAAAUGCUCCGCUUGGUCCUUCACAUUUGUGUUCCACACAGGAGAAGCCAAGUUGUGAGCAGUGCACCUUCACAAGCAAAGCCUCGACUGAAAUCUUCUCUAACAAUUGGCUGGUCACUCCUGAGCGUAAUCUACCCCUUCAGAACACUGGGGAUGAAUUUAGAGACAUCGAAGCCUCCUGAUGAGAAAUACGUGUCCACUCACCGGGAGAACUGAAAUACCAGGAGAUUUCUACACAAAUCUCACAGAGUCCUUCUGGCGUCCUAGGGGUUUGCUCACAUAUAAGGGACUUUCUGGUAGGAAGAGAGUCUCUUUACAUUCUUUAUUAUAUGAUCCUGGUGGCUUUGUAGAGAGAUGGUACAGCUGACAGAUCAUGUCCUGUGGGGCCAGGGAGUUGUGUGUGUGUGAAUGCUCUGUGAACUUGGGCAAACUACUUAGCCUCUCUGAGCCUUAGCUGCAUCAGCUUUGAAAAACAGGAUGAUAAAAUGGAGUCACCUUAUUUGACUUUUAUAAAUACACUUACACAAUUACACAAGUUGUGGGGAUGGGAAGAGAGAGUUGGGGAAAGAGAAAUGAGAGAGAGAGAGAGAGAGAAUGAAUGAUAAACAAUUUAAACAACAGUGGGGUGUAGACCAACGCCCAGCCUGGCAAGGGUGAGCCCAGAGAGCCUUCCCUCCUGGCUAUUGGCAGCCUCCGCAUGGAAGCCUGUCGUUGACUUCUUAAUGAUGAGAGAUGUUCUGGGGGCACUCCAGGAUUCUUGGACAUGGGAUCGUCUUCACAGCUGUGUCUAUUGAAAGCUGAAGUUUCAGUCUCCCCUGCCCCCUGCCCCCUGGAGUGGCUUCCCAGGGGAAAUUCAAGGGCACCUGUGACUGCAUGGCUGCUUUCCUUUCCUUUACUCAAUGCCGUCCUUUGGUGACAGCCGUGUCUCAUGCCAGGAUACAUGAGGUGCUCUAUAGUAGUAUGUUUUCCCUCCUGGGAGGUAAUUUUAUUUAAAUGUGAAGUCAAAAGGAUCACUAAAUAGAACCAUGAGGCAACCACUCUGGGCACCUGCCUGGUGAUAUCCACAAGAGCUGACCACAGGUGCCCCCUGUGCCCAGCAAGUCCUUGGCUGGGCAGUCACACAACAGGCAUGGGGAUGUGUGGCCACCAAGCCCUCCAGGGCAGUGCUAUUUGUAAUAGUCCCAAAUGGGAGAGAUGGCAAACGCCCGCCAAUGGGGCAGCAUGGAUAAAUGGAUGCUGCACAGCAACGGCGAUGAGUGAGCCCCAGCACCCGUGAGCUCACCAGUGUAAUAUUGGGUGGAAGAAGCCAGGAGGAAGGGCAUUCACAUUCUGUGAUUCCAGCUACACUAUGUUUAAAUAUGGGCAGAGCUAGGCUGUGGUGCUGGAAGCCAGGACAGUGGGAUCCUUGCAUGGGGGUGAUGGUGCUGGUAGGUUCUGGUAAUUUCCUCUUCUUGAUCUGGGUGUAAACAUUUUGUGAAAAUUCAAUGAGCUGUACAUUUAUGACUGGUACAUUUAUGACUUUGUAUGAAUAUUAUACUUUCAUAAAACUACUUUAAAAUAUGAUUGUGAACCUUUUUUCACCUAUUUUCUGCCAAUUAGCACCGAAUUGCUCACUAACUAAUGAGUGGUGCUGGUUUUGACUUGCUUGCUACACUGUCUUGAGACAGAUAGGGUUUUCUGUGCUUUGUAUGACCCCCUCUGGAACCAGGGUGGGACUGGGAACACUCGGAAAACAUGUGCUGACAGAUGCUGGGCAUCCCCGUGUUGGUGGAGGCAUGCUCAUUCCUCAGCAAAAUACCCAUAUGGGGUGUUGGCAGGAAAGAGGACAGAAAAGGACAAAGUAUUUGUCUCUGCUAGCGUUCCUGGAGCUGUCUCACCUUGGCCAAGCCCCCGCCCAGUCCUCUCCUAACGUGGACAGACUAGGGGGCAGAAACUAGUCAGCCAAAGAAUUUCCAAGCUAGGGGUUGAUGAAUGCUUGGAUAAUUUGCCCAUGAACACGUUGGAUUCUUCUUCACUUGCCAUCACGGGGGGAUAAGUACCCCAGUUUUUUUUUGGAGAGAAUUGAGGGACUGUGCCAUUGCAGUGUGGAUUUCAAGAGAUUUUAAACGGAAGGCAGAGUAACAGUGUGGUUUGGGAAGCUCUAAAGACAGUUGUCCUGGUGCGGUUUCUUCCAUAAAAGAGUGGGGACGCCAUGGACCUGCUCACCAAAUUCCAGUCCCGACACAGUUCUGUGAGGCACUCUCCACAUCAGGGCAGACGGGCAGGAGGAGUUUACACAGCGAUCUGGGGGCCAUUAGAGCACUGAGGGAUCCAUUGCUGUCUCUUGUUUCUGUUUCCCACACUGUGCUGGGUGCUGGGAACAUGACGAUGAACUUGAAGGAAAUAAUGUGUACGGUGGUUCAUUUCCAAGACAUAGUGCCUUGAAUCAGUUUAGGUCAGCAAACUACAGAAGAAACAGGAUAUACUAGGCCCCUGCUUGGAGAGCUGAUGCCUGUUUGUUGCCCCUCACCCCCUUAGUUGCCCUUACCAGAACCAAAGGAGUUUAGUCUAAGAUGAAAGUUUACUAGCCUGCAAAAUAGCUCACUUUGUCUGUUCUUAUCAGCCUGCCCAGCUACUUAGGUCAUAAGUGAAAUACUUGAAGAGCCCCUGAGCUAACUAGGAUUGCAAUGCAUUGUGGCUGCAACAAGAUGCAGCAAGACAACUGUAAAGAAAAUGCCUAAAACCCCUACCCACCAACCCAUAGGCGAUGUCCAGGAAGACUGUGACCUCCAUAGUACUCAGCAUUUGAGGAACUGGGGGAGGGACCUGUGCACUAGGGGAUAAAUUGCUUGUUGAAACUGUGCUGGGUGUGCCUGUCCAUCAGAUACCCUAUCUUGCAAGACUGUCG